GAUGAACGCUAGCUACAGGCUUAACACAUGCAAGUCGAGGGGCAGCAUGGGCUUAGCUUGCUGAGCCCGAUGGCGACCGGCGCACGGGUGAGUAACACGUAUCCAACCUUCCGGUAACUCCGGUAUAGCCUUUCGAAAGAAAGAUUAAUCCCGGAUAGUAUGGUGAUUCCGCAUGGUUUCUCCAUUAAAGGAUUCCGGUUACCGAUGGGGAUGCGUUCCAUUAGGCAGUUGGCGGGGUAACGGCCUACCAAGCCGACGAUCAGUAGCCGACCUGAGAGGGUGACCGGCCACAUUGGGACUGAGACACGGCCCAA
rnacentral:rRNA from 1 species